AUUGAACGCUGGCGGCAGGCCUAACACAUGCAAGUCGAACGGUAGCACAGAGAGCUUGCUCUCGGGUGACGAGUGGCGGACGGGUGAGUAAUGUCUGGGAAACUGCCUGAUGGAGGGGGAUAACUACUGGAAACGGUAGCUAAUACCGCAUAACGUCGCAAGACCAAAGAGGGGGACCUUCGGGCCUCUUGCCAUCAGAUGUGCCCAGAUGGGAUUAGCUAGUAGGUGGGGUAACGGCUCACCUAGGCGACGAUCCCUAGCUGGUCUGAGAGGAUGACCAGCCACACUGGAACUGAGACACGGUCCAGACUCCUACGGGAGGCAGCAGUGGGGAAUAUUGCACAAUGGGCGCAAGCCUGAUGCAGCCAUGCCGCGUGUAUGAAGAAGGCCUUCGGGUUGUAAAGUACUUUCAGCGGGGAGGAAGGUGUUGUGGUUAAUAACCGCAGCAAUUGACGUUACCCGCAGAAGAAGCACCGGCUAACUCCGUGCCAGCAGCCGCGGUAAUACGGAGGGUGCAAGCGUUAAUCGGAAUUACUGGGCGUAAAGCGCACGCAGGCGGUCUGUCAAGUCGGAUGUGAAAUCCCCGGGCUCAACCUGGGAACUGCAUUCGAAACUGGCAGGCUAGAGUCUUGUAGAGGGGGGUAGAAUUCCAGGUGUAGCGGUGAAAUGCGUAGAGAUCUGGAGGAAUACCGGUGGCGAAGGCGGCCCCCUGGACAAAGACUGACGCUCAGGUGCGAAAGCGUGGGGAGCAAACA
rnacentral:rRNA from 1 species